CCUUUUUAUCUAAUUCCAGAAUUUUGGCACGGCGACUCUGCCAUACUCUAGUAACGCCACUGUCGCUUGCAGUGGCGGUUUGCCUCUGGUAGGCUAUUUUCGGUCGUUUUCAGCCUAAUUCAGCUGGUUUUGUAUCAAUCCCUGCGACAAAUAUGUUAAGGGGCCUCGGUUGACCGAAAAAAAUAGAAAAAUCGAAACUCACUGGUGGCGGAGUUCUUCGGUGCGGCGGCUCCACCGGCUCACAUUUACGGUUGAGUGUUUUGCUUCGGUCAACCUGUAGAGAAGGAAACGGUGAUUACAAUGGUGGAAGAAUUACGUAGAACAGGAAUCGGGAAGGGCCUCAUCAAAGGCCCUUUUUGUAUUUUUCCAUGGCGGUGCCGUUGGACUUUACUCUC
rnacentral:lncRNA from 1 species